rnacentral:rRNA from 1 species
UACGAGGGGUCCAAGCGUUGUUCGGAAUUAUUGGGCGUAAAGCGGGUGUAGGCGGCCUAACAAGUCAGAAGUGAAAGCCCCGGGCUUAACCUGGGAAGUGCUUUUGAAACUGUUAGGCUUGAGUGUGGUAGAGGAAAGUAGAAUUCCAGGUGUAGUGGUGAAAUACGUAGAUAUCUGGAGGAACACCGGAGGUGAAGACGGCUUUCUGGACCAACACUGACGCUCAGACCCGAAAGCGUGGGGAGCAAACAGG